AGGGCAUACGGUGGAUGCCUAGGCACCAGAUGGCGAUGAAGGACGUGGUUAACUGCGAAAAGUCUCGGGGAGCUGUAAGCGAGCAUAUAUCCGAGGAUAUCCGAAUGGGGCAACCCGGUCAGGAAAAGCCUGAUCAUCUAACGUAAGUUAGAGGCGAACGCGAGGAAUUGAAACAUCUAAGUACUCGCAGGAAGAGAAAGUAAUAACGAUUUUCUAAGUAGCGGCGAGCGAACAGGAAAGAGCCUAAACCUCGAAUAAUCGGGGGGUAGUGGGACUACAACAAAUUGAAGCUAUUUAUAGUCGAACCUAAUUGGAAAAUUAGACCUAAGAAGGUGAAAGUCCUGUAGGCGAAAUAGAUAGUGUAGGUUAGAAGAAUCCCGAGUAGUCCGGGACACGAGAAAUCCUGGAUGAAUCCGCGUGGACCAUCACGUAAGGCUAAAUACACGCUGGUGACCGAUAGUGAAACAGUACCGUGAGGGAAAGGUGAAAAGUACCCCGUGAGGGGAGUGAAAUAGAACCUGAAACCGUGUGCGUACAAGCAGUGGGAGCUUGAAUUUUCGUAAUUUGAGUGACCGCGUACCUUUUGUAUAAUGGGUCAGCGACUUACUUCUCAGUUGCAAGGUUAACCAGUAGGGGAGCCGUAGGGAAACCGAGUCUUAAAUGGGCGAUUAGUAGCUGGGAGUAGACCCGAAACCGGGUGAUCUAUCCAUGGCCAGGGUGAAGGUUAGGUAAAACUAACUGGAGGCCCGAACCCACUUAUGUUGAAAAAUGAGGGGAUGAGCUGUGGAUAGGGGUGAAAGGCCAAACAAACCUGGAGAUAGCUGGUUCUCUUCGAAAUAUAUUUAGGUAUAGCCUUAUAAGUUUCUUGCCGGAGGUAGAGCACUGGAUGGGCUAGGGGUCUCACCAGAUUACCAAACCUAACCAAACUCCGAAUACCGGUAAGUCAGAUCAUAGGAGUCAGCCCGCGGGAGCUAAGUUCCGCGGACGAGAGGGAAACAACCCAGACCGCCAGCUAAGGUCCCCAAAUCUAUGCUAAGUGGGGAAGGAUGUGGGAAUGCCCAGACAACCAGGAGGUUGGCUUAGAAGCAGCCAUCCUUUAAAGAAAGCGUAAUAGCUCACUGGUCUAGUGGUUCUGCGCCGAAGAUGUAACGGGGCUAAGCAUGGUACCGAAGCCACGGCCGAGCACCUAAAGUGUUAGGUGCUCGGGGUAGGGGAGCGUUCUCCUAAGGGAUGAAGGUAUGCCGUGAGGUAUGCUGGACUAAGGAGAAGUGAAAAUGCUGGCAUGAGUAACGAUAAAACGGGUGAGAAACCCGUUCGCCGUAAACCCAAGGUUUCCUGGGUAAAGCUAAUCUGCCCAGGGUUAGUCGGCCCCUAAGGCGAGGCCGAAAGGCGUAGCUGAUGGGAAACAGGUUAAUAUUCCUGUACCUGCUGGGUAGUCGUUUGAGCGAAGGGGGGACGCAGAAGGGUAGGUCAGCCACCUGUUGGAAUAGGUGGUUCAAGCCUGUAGGCUGGGGACUCAGGCAAAUCCGGGUCCCUGAUAAGGCUGAGAGGUGAUGACGAGUCAAUAAAGACGGAAGUGACUGAGCCCAUGCUGCCGAGAAAAGCCUCUAAGCGAGACUACUUGGUAGACCGUACCGCAAACCGACACAGGUGGGUGGGGUGAGUAACCCAAGGCGCUUGAGAGAACUCUGGCUAAGGAACUCGGCAAAAUGACCCCGUAACUUCGGGAGAAGGGGUGCUCUCUUGGGUGAAGGGAUUUACUUCUGGAGCCUGGGAGAGCCGCAGAGAAAUGGCGGGGGCGACUGUUUACUAAAAACACAGGUCUCUGCUAAGUCGUAAGACGAAGUAUAGGGACUGACGCCUGCCCGGUGCCGGAAGGUUAAGGGGAUCAGUUAGCCUUCGGGCGAAGCUGUGAACCGAAGCCCCGGUAAACGGCGGCCGUAACUAUAACGGUCCUAAGGUAGCGAAAUUCCUUGUCGGGUAAGUUCCGACCUGCACGAAUGGCGUAACGAUCUCCGCGCUGUCUCGGCCAGAGACUCAGUGAAAUUGAAAUCUCGGUGAAGAUGCCGAGUACCCGCAGCAAGACGGAAAGACCCUGUGCACCUUUACUACAGCUUGACAUUGGACUUUGGGCUAUCAUGUGUAGGAUAGGUGGGAGGCUGUGAAGCCGGUACGCCAGUAUCGGUGGAGCCGUCCUUGAAAUACCACCCUUGGUAGUCUAGGGUUCUAACCCAGAGCCGUGAAACCGGUCUGGGGACAGUGUCUGGUGGGUAGUUUGACUGGGGCGGUCGCCUCCCAAAGAGUAACGGAGGCGUGCAAAGGUUCCCUCAGGCUGAUUGGAAACCAGCCGUUGAGUGCAAAGGCAUAAGGGAGCUUGACUGUGAGAGAGACAUCUCGAGCAGGGACGAAAGUCGGCCUUAGUGAUCCGGUGGUUCCGCAUGGAAGGGCCAUCGCUCAUCGGAUAAAAGGUACGCCGGGGAUAACAGGCUGAUCGCGUCCAAGAGUUCACAUCGACGACGCGGUUUGGCACCUCGAUGUCGGCUCAUCACAUCCUGGGGCUGGAGCAGGUCCCAAGGGUACGGCUGUUCGCCGUUUAAAGUGGUACGCGAGCUGGGUUUAAAACGUCGUGAGACAGUUUGGUCCCUAUCUGCUGUGGGCGUAGGAGACUUGAGAGGGCCUGCCCCUAGUACGAGAGGACCGGGGUGGACGAUCCUCUGGUGGACCUGUUGUCGCGCCAGCGGCACAGCAGGGUAGCUAUGAUCGGAAGGGAUAACCGCUGAAGGCAUCUAAGCGGGAAGCCUGCCUCAAGAUAAGGUCUCCCUCUGAGCACCUAAAUCAGGUGCUUGGCUGAAGGACCCUGGAAGACGACCAGGUAGAUAGGCCGGAAGUGUAAGUGCAGUGAUGCAUUUAGCUGACCGGUACUAAUAGUCCGUGAGUCUUAACC
rnacentral:rRNA from 1 species